rnacentral:rRNA from 1 species
GGAUCCAGACUUUGAUCCUGGCUCAGGAUGAACGCUAGCUACAGGCUUAACACAUGCAAGUCGAGGGGCAGCGGGAUUGAAGCUUGCUUCAAUUGCCGGCGACCGGCGCACGGGUGAGUAACGCGUAUCCAAUCUUCCGUACACUCAGGGAUAGCCUUUCGAAAGAAAGAUUAAUACCUGAUAGUAUCUUAAGCACACAUGUAAUUAAGAUUAAAGAUUUAUCGGUGUACGAUGGGGAUGCGUUCCAUUAGGUAGUAGGCGGGGUAACGGCCCACCUAGCCAACGAUGGAUAGGGGUCCUGAGAGGAAGGUCCCCCACAUUGGAACUGAGACACGGUCCAAACUCCUACGGGAGGCAGCAGUGAGGAAUAUUGGUCAAUGGACGAGAGUCUGAACCAGCCAAGUAGCGUGAAGGAUGAAGGUCCUACGGAUUGUAAACUUCUUUUAUAAGGGAAUAAACCCUCCCACGUGUGGGAGCUUGUAUGUACCUUAUGAAUAAGCAUCGGCUAACUCCGUGCCAGCAGCCGCGGUAAUACGGAGGAUGCGAGCGUUAUCCGGAUUUAUUGGGUUUAAAGGGAGCGCAGACGGGUCGUUAAGUCAGCUGUGAAAGUUUGGGGCUCAACCUUAAAAUUGCAGUUGAUACUGGCGUCCUUGAGUGCGGUUGAGGUGUGCGGAAUUCGUGGUGUAGCGGUGAAAUGCUUAGAUAUCACGAAGAACUCCGAUUGCGAAGGCAGCACACUAAUCCGUAACUGACGUUCAUGCUCGAAAGUGUGGGUAUCAAACAGGAUUAGAUACCCUGGUAGUCCACACGGUAAACGAUGGAUACUCGCUGUUGGCGAUAUACUGUCAGCGGCUUAGCGAAAGCGUUAAGUAUCCCACCUGGGGAGUACGCCGGCAACGGUGCAACUCAAAGGAAUUGACGG